rnacentral:lncRNA from 1 species
UCUCGUCUUGAAUUGUAGCUCCCAUAAUUCUCACGUGUCAUGGGAGGGACCUGGUGGGAGGUAAUUGAAUCAUGGGGGUGAGUCUUUCCCAUGCUGUUCUCGUGAUAGUGAAUAAGUCUCACGAGAUCUGACGGUUUUAUAAAGGGGAGUUUCCCUGUACACGCUCUCUCUUGCUACUGCCAUGUAAGACGUCUUUGCUCUUCGUCUUCCACCAUGAUUGUGAGGCCUCUCCAACCAUGUGGAACUGUUGACACUGCAAAAUCUGAAAAUGGCUCACUAUGCAGAGACAGUGCAGGGCAGGAGUGGAGUCCGAUCUCCAGAACCAGGC